AACUGCAAAACUGCAUUCUCCUUUCAAUCUCACACAUCUCUUGAUGAUUUAGAGUACUCUUGGCAAAGGUAAGUAAUUUUUUUUUUAUUUCGGAUCUGCACAUCCAUUUUUUUCUAUGGAUUAGUGUUUUUUCGCAUUCCAGAUUAUAGAAUCCGGUGGAAUUUCGAAUUAUAGAAUACAGAUGAAUUUCGGCUUAUGAAAUUCAGUAAAAUUAUGCUUCCGGUAAAAUCCUGAAUUUGUGGUUCCAGGAAUGUUUCGGAUUUGUGGUUUCAGGAUUCUUCCAGAUUGAUGUUUCCGAAAUACUAAUUUGUUGUUUCGUGUUUGUGUUGGCUUAAAUUAGUAAAGCAUAAUUGUAUUGGGUUGAACUAGAGGAGUUGUGGGGUUGGGUUAGUAUGCACUCAUUCAUUAGUUGGUAAUUUGGUUAACUUGAAUGAUGUAAUUGAACAGAAAUGGUGAAGACUAGGAAAGGAGGUUCACAAGGUGAUCGUCUAUGUCCCACAACCUCUCUUAAAAGAAAAAGAAGACAUGUUAAUGAAAAUGAAGAACAUGAAGAUGCAGAACAUGUUGAACUUGAAGAAGUUGAACCCCAAAUGGAGGUGGAGGAUGAA
rnacentral:lncRNA from 1 species